UACGUAGGGUGCGAGCGUUAAUCGGAAUUACUGGGCGUAAAGCGAGUGUAGGCGGUGUGGUAAGUCGGAUGUGAAAGCCCCGGGCUCAACCCGGGAAGUGCAUUCGAUACUGCCACGCUAGAGUAUCGGAGAGGUUGGUGGAAUUCUCGGUGUAGAGGUGAAAUUCGUAGAUAUCGAGAGGAACACCGGUGGCGAAGGCGGCCAACUGGACGAAUACUGACGCUGAGACUCGAAAGCGUGGGGAGCAAACAGG
rnacentral:rRNA from 1 species